rnacentral:tRNA from 1 species
GGCUCGGUAGCUCAGUCGGUAGAGCAGGGGAUUGAAAAUCCCCGUGUCGGCGGUUCGAUUCCGUCCCGAGCCACCU